UUCCAUGUGGCUCAGUUGGUAGCAUUGCGCUAACAACGCAAAAGUCAUUGGUUCAAAUCCCAACUUUCAAA